AGCGAACGCUGGCGGCAGGCUUAACACAUGCAAGUCGAGCGGGCAUAGCAAUAUGUCAGCGGCAGACGGGUGAGUAACACGUGGGAACGUACCUUUUGGUUCGGAACAACUGAGGGAAACUUCAGCUAAUACCGAAUAAGCCCUUACGGGGAAAGAUUUAUUGUCAAAAGAUCGGCCCGCGUCUGAUUAGCUAGUUGGUAGGGUAAUGGCCUACCAAGGCGACGAUCAGUAGCUGGUCUGAGAGGAUGAUCAGCCACACUGGGAAUGAGACACGGCCCAGACUCCUACGGGAGGCAAGAGUGGGGAAUAUUGGACAAUGGGCGCAAGGCUGAUCCAGCCAUGCCGGGUGAGUGAUGAAGGGCCUAGGGUUGUAAAGCUCUUUUAACGGGGAAGAUAAUGACGGUACCCGUAGAAUAAGCCCCGGCUAACUUCGUGCCAGCCGCCGCCGUAA
rnacentral:rRNA from 1 species